UUCUCCUGGUGUGGUGCGGAUCUAGGCCGCAAUCUCGUCUUCCAGCCGCGCUUCCGCCGGAGUUUCUUUUGUCACGGCGCCAGCUCCUCUCAGUGCCUCAGAACUCCGAGAAUCUGCAAACAUCUCUCUUCUUCCACAGCUGUCUGUUCUCUUUCGGCAGCCGCCCAACGCUGAGGCUGCACGGCCUUGCUUCUUCAGGGACAUGUGGAGAUGGAUGGAAACUUCUCCUGUGGUCAGCACCUUGGAUUCUGCAGCAGCCAGCCAGCCACUCCCUCCCCUACACUGCCUUUCCAGCUCUCCCUGCUGCCAGUGCAGAGCCCUGCUGUUCUGGAGUGUCACACGUGUGCUGAUGAGUGUGUGAGAGGUUUCCUCAGGGAGAAGAUGGUGAAAUGUCAGGUCUGUGCCACAUGCUGGCAGAGAAAUACCACAUUGAAGACAGUCAGUAAUAGUUGGCGCAACAGAUAAAACAGACACGCUCCACCACUUUUAGGAGAUCUCCAGUCCCUUUCCUAGAGAGUGAUGUAAGCAGGUGAUGAGGAGGAGAUGAAGGGUGAUACAUGGGUCCCCAGAUCUCCCUCCAUGGACUCCUGAAUCUCAUCUGGUACCAGGUUUGAACCAGCAAACCCUGACAGCAAGACAAAAGAAGAUGUGAGAGAAUUAUUUUUUGCUGCGGGCUAGGGAGCUUCACGGAAAGGAAGCCUUGAACUGACUCAAACUUCAGAUUUAUUCAGGAGUAACAAAGACAAUGUAUUCUGCUGAGGACUUCUAAUGAGGUGUGCAUAAACUGGAGCUGUCUAUUAGGAACGCCCGUGUGAUAUCAGCUUGCGUGGGAGAACCUGGUGCUGGAGCCUGAGUGCUUUGUUUGCCUCCUCAGUUCUCACCAAGCCUGACAGUCUGUACCCUGGGGAGAGCUUGGAUCUGAGUGCACUGAGUUUUUUCUCAGUGAUGAUCCUAUUGGUGUUGUCCAGGAACUCUAGGAGCAGAAAAUGGAGACUGAGGCCACCAGAGGAAGUGUAAUUGGAGCUGUGGCUGUCCCUGCAGGCUGCUCAGAGCAUUGGGGACUGCUCUUCACCCUGGGAAGAAUUUGGAUCCACACUGGCCCUAACCUGUUCCUCCAGCCCAGCCUGCCCACCCCCUGACAGCACAGUUAGCUCAUCAGUGGGCGGAUUCACGGAGGAGCACAAGGCCUCCUGACACAGUCGCCUUCCAGAUGCAUGUGAACUUAGGAGAACAUUUUAGGUCUAAAUGAUCGCAGAGUAUGUGCCUUUCUGAAGAAAAGGUAUUUUAGUGUUUUUGUGUUCCAAGUUAAAAAACUGUCACUACCAAAGAAUUAGGAUUAUAGACUUUGAUUUGUAAAAUAAUACAAUUAAGUACAGUAGGUUUAAAGGUUACUUGUAUUUGGAUAAUACUAGGCAUUUUAAAAUAAAACUCCCUCAAAGUGGAGUUCAUUGGGGGAAUUAGAAACUAUUGCCACGUAAAUAAAAUUGUGUGUUUUAGAAUGGUA